rnacentral:rRNA from 1 species
CCUACGGGAGGCAGCAGUGAGGAAUAUUGGUCAAUGGCCGAGAGUCUGAACCAGCCAAGUAGCGUGAGGGAUGACUGCCCUAUGGGUUGUAAACUUCUUUUGUAUGGGAAUAAAGUGUUCCACGUGUGGGAUUUUGUAUGUACCCUAUGAAUAAGCAUCGGCUAACUCCGUGCCAGCAGCCGCGGUAAUACGGAGGAUCCGAGCGUUAUCCGGAUUUAUUGGGUUUAAAGGGAGCGUAGGUGGGUUGUUAAGUCAGGUGUGAAAGUUUGCGGCUCAACCGUAAAAUUGCAGUUGAAACUGGCAGUCUUGAGUAGAGUAGAGGUGGGCGGAAUGCGUGGUGUAGCGGUGAAAUGCUUAGAUAUCACGAAGAACUCCGAUUGCGAAGGCAGCAUACUGGACUGCAACUGACACUGAGGCUCGAAAGCGUGGGUAUCAAACAGGAUUAGAUACCCUAGUAGUC